CUACUGGUGCUUGUAGACUACCGGUAGAUCUUCAGGUUUUGGAAGUUCGAAAGUGGACAAACAUAUCCUGCCAUUUUACCUCUGGGGCAUUCACAUUUGGCCCUUAUCAAGUCUGUCAUUGUAUCAACACUACAAAAGAAUUUCUGGAAAGCCGAAUUGCCAAGAUAAACAGCCAGUGCAAGAAAAAGUGACAGGGGGCCACUGCAAUGUUGAAUCUUUUAGAUGGUUUCCACCUAUUUGAAGAGAUGAAAUGAACUAUUUUGCUGGCGGAGACGAUCACUUCUCGAGUGUAUUUGAUACUAUUUCGUUGCUGAUAUUUGAUCACAUAUUUUAUUAAAAGUGAUUUCUUUUCAAUUGUAUUUCAUUUCUCCAGGUGGUGGCAUGAGGGUUAAUCGAGUUACUUUGCGGAUGUUGUUUAGUUUUACAACUUCUUCUUGUAGUUAAGGUUAACAUCGCUAUGGCUGUAAAAAUCGGAGACAUCCAACCCACUGCUUUUGCCUAGUACAUACAUUUGGUUGUAAAAUUACAAGCGCUUGCAACGAUACAAUACAUCUGAAGUUGUAUAUGGUGUUCACAACGAAGUGCAUGGCAUCGCUGCUGCCGCGCGUUUGGUUGUAAAUCGCCCUU